rnacentral:rRNA from 1 species
AAUGGGGGAAACCCUGAUCCAGCCAUUCCGCGUGAGUGAAGAAGGCCUUCGGGUUGUAAAGCUCUUUCGGCAGGAACGAAAAGGCGGGCUCUAACAUAGCCUGUUGAUGACGGUACCUGAAGAAGAAGCACCGGCUAACUACGUGCCAGCAGCCGCGGUAAUACGUAGGGUGCGAGCGUUAAUCGGAAUUACUGGGCGUAAAGCGUGCGCAGGCGGUUUUGUAAGACAGGUGUGAAAUCCCCGGGCUUAACCUGGGAACUGCGCUUGUGACUGCAAGACUUGAGUGCAGCAGAGGGGGGUGGAAUUCCACGUGUAGCAGUGAAAUGCGUAGAGAUGUGGAGGAACACCGAUGGCGAAGGCAGCCCCCUGGGUUGACACUGACGCUCAUGCACGAAAGCGUGGGUAGCAAA